rnacentral:rRNA from 1 species
CCUACGGGUGGCAGCAGUGAGGAAUAUUGGUCAAUGGGCGCGAGCCUGAACCAGCCAAGUCGCGUGAGGGAAGACGGUCCUAUGGAUUGUAAACCUCUUUUGUCGGGGAGCAAAAGACGCCACGCGUUGCGUUCCGAGAGUACCCGAAGAAAAAGCAUCGGCUAACUCCGUGCCAGCAGCCGCGGUAAUACGGAGGAUGCGAGCGUUAUCCGGAUUUAUUGGGUUAAAGGGGUGCGCAGGCGGAAGAUCAAGUCAGUGGUAAAAUUGAGGGGCUCAACCUCUUCGAGCCGUUGAAACUGGUUUGCUUGAGUGAGAGAGAAGUAUGUGGAAUGCGUUGUGUAGCGGUGAAAUGCAUAGAUAUCACGCAGAACUCCGAUUGCGAAGGCAGCAUACCGGCGCUCAACUGACGCUGAUGCACGAAAGUGUGGGUAUCGAACAGGAUUAGAUACCCUUGUAGUC